UGGGGAAUAUUGGACAAUGGGCGAAAGCCUGAUCCAGCCAUGCCGCGUGUGUGAAGAAGGUCUUCGGAUUGUAAAGCAUUUUAAGUUGGGAGGAAGGGCAGUAAGCGAAUACCUUGCUGUUUUGACGUUACCGACAGAAUAAGCACCGGCUAACUCUGUGCCAGCAGCCGCGGUAAUACAGAGGGUGCAAGCGUUAAUCGGAAUUACUGGGCGUAAAGCGCGCGUAGGUGGUUCGUUAAGUUGAAUGUGAAAGCCCCGGGCUCAACCUGGGGACUGCAUCCAAAGCUGGCGAGCUAGAGUAGGGCAGAGGGUGGUGGAAUUUCCUGUGUAGCGGUGAAAUGCGUAGAUAUAGGAAGGAACACCAGUGGCGAAGGCGACCCCCUGGGCUCAUACUGACACUGAGGUGCGAAAACGUGGGGAGCAAACAGG
rnacentral:rRNA from 1 species